UUUGAGAUGCAAUAUAAGUGUCACGUUAGAAUAGUGACAGAUCGGAGAACCCACAUGGGUUUAGGGAUUGUGAUAGAUAUAGAAUCCAUGUAUGUGUUUAAGCAUAAUUCCUUGUUUAAGAAGGCUCCUUAUAGAUAGGGAUAAUGGUCGGCAUGGGAAACCCAAACUGGUUUAAGGAUAGGUAAAGUAAUGUAAGCAUAACCUAGCUAAGAU
rnacentral:lncRNA from 1 species